rnacentral:snRNA from 1 species
GUGCUCACUUUGGCAGUACAUAUACUAAAAUUGGAAUGAUACAGAGAAGAUUAGCAUGGCCCCUGCACAAAAUACUGUUGUAUUUUUCUUAUUGUAAGAGAAAUGGUUAUUUU